CACAUGCAAGUCGAGGGGCAGCAUGUCCAGCAAUGGAUGAUGGCGACCGGCGGAAGGGUGCGUAACGCGUGAGCAACAUGCCCUAUACAGGGAGAUACACCAGGGAAACUUGGUCUAAUAUCCCAUAGCAUUCAUUGAAGGCAUCUUUAAUGAAUUAAAGCUUCGGUGGUAUAGGAUUGGCUCGCGUGACAUUAGCCAGAUGGUGAGGUAACGGCUCACCAUAGCAAUGAUGUCUAGGGGUUUUGAGAGGAAGGCCCCCCACACUGGGACUGAGACACGGCCCAGACUCCUACGGGAGGCAGCAGUGAGGAAUAUUGGACAAUGGAUGGAAAUCUGAUCCAGCCAUGCCGCGUGCAGGAAGACGGCCUUAUGGGUUGUAAACUGCUUUUAUACGGGAGCAAUAAGGGUUACGCGUAAUCCGAUGAGAGUACUGUAUGAAUAAGGAUCGGCUAACUCCGUGCCAGCAGCCGCGGUAAUACGGAGG
rnacentral:rRNA from 1 species